AAAAAAGUCAGGAAUCCAGAUGCAGGCUGGCAUAUGAGCAGAUUCUGGAAUGAGUUCCUUACCUGACACACCUGGUGUGAAGCAUUGCUGGCUGAUACAUUUAUCUACUCUCCUCCAUUUGGAGCCAAGUCCUCACUGAUUGUGAUGGAUGUACAAAGGAAGAGAAUGUGGUUCCUCACAGAAUUCAUCACUAGGAGCUCAGGAAUGAACAAACCACACAGCAAGGAUUUACAAGGAAUGCUUAUUAAGAAACGGCAGUUUCAAAGAAGAGUCUGAACUGCAAGAUGCCAAAAUCCUAAUGGUGACAUGAAACAGGUUGGAGCUGCAAACAGACUGUCCUUUCGUGUUCAGUAAUUUCACUCCUGGCAGCUGCUACUAGCUGAUUCCCUGUUCUGCCCUGCCCAAGGGCUGUGUAGGUGUAUACAUACACAUAUGUCAAAGGAAAAAAAAGUAUGGAAAAUACUUUGUUCUUAAUGGGAAAAUACCCAUCUCACAAGGUUUAAAAUGGAGAGCUUUUUUUCUCACAAAAUGAAAACCCUUUAAAAUGUAGAUACGCAUAAAAUAGCCCCCUCCGUCCCCCCCAAAAACUUUAAAGAACAAAUUAGCUGGUUCUGUGGCAUCUCACCAGGCUGUGGAAUUUAUGAAAACCACAUUCCUUGGAUUCUAAAACACUGGCCAUCCCGCUGCUCUUUCAAAUAAUGUUGAUUUUGCUGACUAGUCUCUCUGAGAGCCAGCACAGUUGUCUAAUUGUAAGUAAAUAAUCUCAGAACAAAUCCGUGUUUGACAUACUGUCAUACUAGCAUUUACUGUUUUGCAAAAGGGAUUUACUUCAAGGAUAUUGAAAAAUUCCAUUGGUGUUUAAGGGGAGUAGCAACUGUGACCCUCUAUAAAUUAAAAUGCUUGACCCUGCUAUAUGAUAUAGAAGAUCCAAAGUAUUUCACAAGUUCAGAUCAGUGAAGGCGGAAAACAAGCCCUGUUUCUGGAGGUGCGGUAUUAUGUUCCCACAAACAUCCAUGAGGACCAUGAAGGUUUGCAAGGGCGAGCUAUUUAAAGCUCAGGCUCUUAGGCUCACGUGCAG
rnacentral:lncRNA from 1 species